GCGCGUGUAGCUCAGUGGUAGAGCAUCACACUGAUAAUGUGAGGGUCGAUGGUUCGAUUCCAUCCAUGCGCA
rnacentral:tRNA from 1 species